ACAAGGAUCAAGUGUGCAUGUUAAGAAGUGAUCAAAUCUUUUUGGCUGGAAAUAAUGGAUCAUUAGUUGUCCUUCCUAUGCAAAUAUCAAAAGGGUUGUGAUAUUUGAAUGGUUGAUUCUCCCUAUUCCGUUGCUCUCCACCACCAGAUGGUCAGACCUGAUGCCCCACGUGCGAAUCAAAAUUGAUUGGUUCUUGAACACGCAAAAAACGCCCGUAAUUCUCAGACGAACAAUGAAUACGGAUUAUGACAUUUGGCUAACUCUUUGGGUUUAUUUUUGCUGGUGCAGUCAAAGAGGAUGAUUAAUCUUUGGGUUCUCUUUUUCCCUCGUUUUGAUCCAUCUCAUGAAGUCAUUGUCCUUUCUUAAGUUGGAUUGGUAUCAGAGCUCAGGGUUUUCUUUUGUCUUUCAGCGUGAGUUCAAGUUGACAAGGACAGAUCAAUCGCGGAGUGAAGCUAAAGGACAUGAAGAGGGAGGCCAGGCCGUAUUACAGUUUCACCUCUUUCAGAGAUUCUCCAGCAUUGGGGAUAAUUAAAGCACCAAUGUUCACAUAGGCAUAAAGUCAGGCUUUUGCCAUUUCUAAAGUGCCGCUGCUGCGGGCGCUUUGACGCGUGUCCUUGUGAUGUUGAAGAAACCUGAGGCGCGACGCCGUUCACAGCAAUAAAAAGCAUCUUCACUUUUGCAUCUCGAUGUGCCUUUUAAUCCCCUGAAAUUUGACUGGACGAGCAACACCUGCUUUCCAUAUUCAUUUCCUCCUUAAAAGGGGCUUUUCGCCUUCCCCUCCUUUGUUCUAUUCCGCGAGGGCCACAGAGGUUCAGUCAACCGAAGAACUUUGGGCGACUCUCUAGUGUGUCAAACUCAGGGCGGACAACUGGAUUCUUCGCUGAUCAUUGGUAUGUGGAGUACCAUUCGACGUUGGAUUAGGCAAGUUAAUGAUGUCUGCUCAACAUCUUGAAGCUUAUGUUUCUCCUGAAAAGUUCCUGAAUGUGCAAUAACAAGGAGUGAAAACAGACAGCAACCCGCCAUCUGAACGGUGAGAGAGUGGUUCCCCGGAUAGCAAGUUAGAAACAGAAUCAUCGAAUGUUAAAAGAGAAAAGUUCCUAAAUGUGCAAUAACAAGGAUUGGAAACACCCGGUAACAUGCCAUCCGAAUGGCGAGAGAGCGAUUCCCAGAGAGCGAGUUAGAAACAGAAUCAUUGAAUGAUAAAAAGAGAUACAGCUGUUCGACGCGACCAACCGAGUCCCUAUCCAUAGCCGUGGUCCUCGCACUUCAUUCUCUCGGAAGAAUUCGAUCGACGCAUGGAUGGUACUGCUUGUACUAAAAAAAUCCUGCAUGUCGAAAGUGAAGGAUGAACUAAUGAUAAUGUUCAUUUUCCCCAGGGUCUCAUUCGUGAAACUGACAUUGUAUUCUCCACGA